rnacentral:rRNA from 1 species
AUGUCUGCCGUCACGCCGUGCUUGGCCGCGAGGUCAAGCAUCUCCUGGGUGUCCCUCAUGCCGCCAAUGAGGCUCCCGAAGCAUGUGAGGUCGGAUGACUUACUGGCAACCAGAGCAAAGGGAGAGAUCUCCAUAGGCUUCUCUGGGAGACCAACCAUGAUCAUCUUGCCGUUGGGUUUCAGUAGCCCCAAGAAAGGGGCCAUGGGGAUGUUUGCAGACACCGUGUUUAUGAUGCCAUCCAUGGUACUCAUCGCGGCCUGCAAAGGUGACACAUUUAAAUUUAAAUUAAAGCAGUAA